rnacentral:lncRNA from 1 species
GUUAGCCAUAAAAUUUUUAUAUUUUGUAGUGAGAAAUCAUUGAAAAAUUAACAUCACAAAGCUAAUUAUAAUUGUAUUUAAAAAACAUAACAAAAAAUGAAGAAGAUGAAGAGGAGCUGGCUCGUGGGAAGAAUGCAUAAACAAAGAAGUCAUCCUUACCUGCUUAACUUUAAGGACCUGCAACCUCAAAAUUUUGUGUUUUCUGAAAAUAAUGACAAUAUUGGAUUGAGAUGAAUAUGCUGAGAAAUGCUACUUUCAUGUCUUUAGAGGCAAAAAUACCAGGUUAAAACCUCAAACAUGGGAAUGAGCCUGAGAGACUUGUAUGAUCCACAGGAUUGAAUAAAUAUUUGCACUGAAAAGGUGAGAGAAAUGCUCUCAUUUCUCCUGCAUUGCACCAACUUAGGGUCCAUGGUUUCGACAGUGGAAAAAAAGAACUGGGAAGGUAGACACUCAGCUUCCCUAGCAUUUUGAGAUACUUCACAGGAAGCUCAAUCCACUCUCACCUAACAGGGAAUGAAAAACACAGAAGGAAAUGAAUGGAAAGAUAGCUAGGGCCAGAUAAAAAUGAAGCAAAAAAUAUGGGACCCACAGAGAUCGACAUGCAAAGUUUAGUGAAAGCUCAACUUACUUGCCUGCAGGAGUGCUUAUUCAGCACUAUCAUUUG